UAUCGUGCUUGUGACUAGCCACUGCACUCCAGCCUGGGCAACAUAACCAAACCCCAUCUCUUAAAAAAGGUGGGGAGGGGUGGUUAGGAAGCAAGCAAUGUUGAGGUUCUAACAGAUUGGUACCAUGAACAUGUAAUGGUACCAAUCCAUAUCUUUGUGCUAUUUUCUCUAGAAGCACCUAGCUCCCUGGGUACAAGAGCAGGGACGACAUUAUUGUUUAGAUCCUGAGUCAGGAUUUGUAGACAGAUAAAGUAUACUAAGAAGGAAGCAAGGGGAUGAAAGUGCUGGUGAAAGAUUAAAGAAUCUCUCUGAUUAUAGCUAGAUAAGAAAAUAGGCUAAGGAAGUUGUGAUAAACUGGUCAAGCCACCAUGCCCGGCCCCCCUCAAAUGGUUUUAUCUGUCACACUGGUGCUCCUGCAAUGGACAAAGGAGACGUUUCCUGUAGGACCAGCAUCUCUUUACUCAGGUUUUUCAAUCUUGGAACUGCUGACAUUUUGGGCCAAGUAAUUCUUUGUUGCAGGGACUGUCCUGUGCAUUUCAGGAUGUUUAACAGCAUCUUUGUCCUCUACCCAUUAGUUGCUUAGUCAGAAUAAUCAGAAAAGUCCCCAGACAUUGCCAAAUGCCCCCUGGAGUUGCCUGGUUGCCUGGUUGAGAAUCACUAUGCUUAAGAAAGGGGCUCUUGUUGUAAUCCCAGCACUUUGGGAGGCCGAGGCGGGAGGAUCACGAGGUCAGGAGAUCGAGACCAUCCUGGUUAACACAGUGAAACCCCAUCUCUACUAAAAAUACAAAAAUUAGCUGGGCAUGGUGGCAUGCGUCUGUAGUCCCAGCUACUCGGGAGGCUGAGGCAGGAGAAUGGCAUGAACCCCGGGAGGUGGAGCUUGCAGUGAGCCGAGAUCGCGCCACUGCACUCCAGCCUGCGUGACAGAGAGAGGCUCCAUUUCAAAAAAAAAAAAAAAAAAAGCGGGGAUGGGGGGCUGUUUUAACUCAGGUCUGGGCCCACUUAGUCCUCAUGGCAGUAUCUAUUCUUAUUCCUGCAUCUCCAUGCCUAGCUGCCUUUUUCUCACCUUUCUUUCUGGGGCUACCACACCUUUAUCAGAUGAGAUCCUCCAACCUCUCUCUACCCUCAGUAUCUCCAAAAGUGCCACCUGGGUUGAAAAUGAGAAGCAAAAGCAUCUACCCUUCCCCCUCUUGCACCAAGGGUAUACCCUAAUUAGAUAGGAAUUUACAUAAUUGGUAAAAAUAAGAUAUCAUGGGCUGGCCACAGUGGCUCACACCUGUAAUGCCAGCAUUUUGAGAGGCCGAGGCACGAGGAAUUCUUCAGCCCAGGAGUUUGAGACCAGGCUGGGCGAUGUAGUGAGACCUUGUCUCUACAAAAAAAUUAAAAAUUAACUGAGUGGUGGCAGGCGCCUGUAGUCCCAGCUACUCGGGAGGCUGAGGCAAGAGAAUUGCUUGAACUUCGGAGGAAGAGGUUUAAGUAAGCAAAGAUUACACCACCGCACUCCAGCCUGGGUGACAGAGCCAGACUCUGUCUCCAAAACAAAAGACAAAGUGCAUACAAGGCUCAGCUCUUAACAAUGACUGCUGUGAGUCAAGGAAAGACCCCUUCCUUGAGGGUGUGCUGGGAGGGGAUAGAUGAGGGCAUACCAAGAGAACCUUUGCCUUUUUUGCGCAAUUUCCCCUUGACUCAGCGGUCCCACUUCCCUUCCCCAGCCCACACUUGUCCUCACCAGUGCUUGUAUUUAGAAAUGCAAGCCCGUGUUGUCAUAGAAAAACAGAAACCAGAUGGUUGCUAUGGAGAUUUGUUUAAAUACACACCUAGAACAUGGCCCAGACUCUGGCAGUGGUGAGUAGCAAUUCUUGCUAGGACCUGCAUUUUUCUUCCUCUUAAUUUGCUGUUUUCCCACCCUUUUCUAUUCUUGCUACAUUUUCAUGCUUCUCACUCCUGCUCCAAAAUGCCACUUCCCACCUACCAGUACUGUUCUUAAACAUCUCC
rnacentral:lncRNA from 10 species